rnacentral:sRNA from 1 species
AGAAAGAUACUAAGUCAGGGGCCUCUGCGGUAUUUGCAGGGAGACUGUUCCAGGAGGAAAUUGUUUUAGGGAAAAGAGUUUUUAUAGUAGCCUGUAGAUGUAGUAGGCUGUCUGUACUUCCAGGAGCAUGCUGCUCUUGUUGAGGUCGUUGCUGGAGUCAGGUAGUCUUCUCUUGGUAUGUCGACCNGGUCAUUAACAACCUUGUAGAAGAGGUUGACUUGGGACUUGAUGUGUCUUGACCCCAGCAACUCCUAGCCAAGAUUAGCAAUCAUGUCUGUGACGCUGCUGGUGUUGUGGUACCUGUUGGUGGCAUACCUUGCAGCUCUCCUCUGCACUUUCUCCAGCUUCUGUAUAUUGGUCUUUGCAUGGGGGCUUAAGAUUAUUGAACAGUAUUCUAACUGCGGUCGACCAUGGUUCAAUAGGCUUUUGCCUUUACUUCUUGGUUUGGGAUUCUGAGGUUGCGUCUUAAAAACCCAAGGGAGCUAUUUGCCUUCUUUGAAAUUUUGUCGAUAUGUGUGUUCCAGGAGAAGAAGGUUUUUUGUGAUGUUUACGCCUAAAUAUUUGGAUACAGUGUCUGUAGGAUAUGGCCUUUAACUUUUAAGUGUGUUGCUGAACAUGAUCGGUUUCUUCUUUCGGUGGACUCCGAGUAUACUGCACUUUUCUGGAUAGAAAGACAUGCCCCAUUUCUUCUCCCAAGCAGCCAGGUUCUUCAGGUAUUGUUCUAGGAUGUCARARUGUGCUGCRRARUUGAUUUGUCUGUAGACAAUACAGUUGUAUGCAAAAAGCCUUGUUUUUGAUGACACUUGUUGUGGUAGGUCGUUGAUGAAUGCCAGAAAUAAUAUUGGGCCCAAUACACUGCCCUGUGAAACGCCGCUAACUACAGCCUCUGCGUCCGAUGUGGCACCAUCAACGGUUACUCUUWGUGUUCGGUCUGAAAGGAAGGCUUUGAUCCAGCCAAGUGUACUCCCUCUCACACUGUAGUGGUCCAGUUUAACUAGGAGGCGUCUGUGUGGUACACGGUCAAAAGCCUUCGAGAAAUCUAGGAUAGCUAGAUCGUGUUGUUUCCCUUUCUCUAGGCCUGAUGUUAGCUCUUCCACAAGUGUGACAAGUUGGGUCUCACAGCUCCUUCUUCUUCUAAAACCAUGCUGACUAUUGGUUAGGAUGUUGUUGUCGUCAAAAUGCUUCAUUAUGUUGCUAACUUACUAUGAUAUGUUCUAGUAGUUUACAGCUAAUACACGUAAGUGACACGGGCCUAUAAUUACUGGCUUUAAAGCGAUCACCCUUCUUAAAUAUGGCAGACACGUUAGCUGACCUCCACACAGCUGGGAUAUCCUGGCAUGCUAGGCACUUGUUGUAGAUUAUGCACAGAUAUGGUGCACUUUGGUCAGCGAGUCCCUUAAGGAUCCUAGCUGGGAUCUGGUCAGGUCCUGUUGCUUUGCUGGGGUUGAACUGCUUCAGUAACUUGGCAAUUCCAUUUGUAUCAACUGUGAUAUCAGGCAUGGAGGGNAAAUGGUUCACCAUCCAUCUCUGGAGUAGGACCCUCGUCUUCGUGUGUAAAAACUGACUUGUAUUGCUGGUUUAGGAUGUUGGCUUUGUCAGAUGGAUCACAGUGUAGUUUGCCUUUAUCUUUCAGAGGAGCUAUUCCACAGUUAUCUUUUUUGAGUGAUUUGAUAUAGUUCCAAAAAUGCUUUUGCUUGCUUGGUGGUUGUUCGGUAUUGUCAGGUUGAUCUUCUACUAGGUUUUCUUCAUAAUUCCAGUAUUCUUGGCGUUCAAGCUUCUGUGCUUCAGUCCUUGCCUUAACAUAUUUCCUUCGGUCUUCAGCCUUAUUUGUUGAUCUUUGUUUGCCAUAGAGUCUUUUUAAUCUUCUCAGUGCGGCUCUUACUGGUUUACUGAUCCAAGGUUUCUUUGUUUUGUUUCCGGAUAGAAGCUUUGAUGGUAUAUGUUUUUCCAUAAGUGAUUUUAGUUUAGUUUCAAAUGUCUCGCUACAACUUAACAACAUAUAUUCUUCUUUCUUAUGCUUUCAGCCACCCCCUUAUUUUGAAAAAUAUUACACCAACUUUUCUUGCUUACCAAAUCCGGACAACUGUGGAGUCUGACUGGCGCUUGGUUAGCUCAGUUAAUAGAGCUACGGACUAUAGUAAUACCAGGGAUCAUGGGUACGAGUCCCAUGUUGUGUGCACUUUUUCCUCCUAUGGUACCAUCUUUGUCAUCAAAUAGACACCCAAAAGUGGACAGUAAUCGGCAAAUUAAUUGCUUGUUUGAUCACUUCAAUUAUAAUUUGUCACCUUGCAUGCAACUAACACUGUCACGUUUAAACGGAAUCGUUCAGGUUACGGCAAAUGAACGUUUACAUUUUCAGUAAACAUGUACACAUAACUUGGCUUGUACUAGAGCAGUCGACAAGGCGUUCUUCGUAAAUUGGUUGUUAUGCAUGCUUUACUGUUUUUCUAAAGUGGUUUUUGAUUGGUUUUUAGUAGCUCUUAGAAGGUGUUUCUCGUAUUUUCGGCGUUGGUCUUUAGUUGGUCUGUCUGACUCUCGUAUUUGCGGUGUUCAUCUAUUGCAAGUAAGGAACUUAAAGUCAAACAGAUACAAAAUGGUUUGCCUGAGCAUGCUUUCAUAUUAGACUGCCCUACUCGUUGGAACACUUCUAUAUUGACGUUUAAACGGAACCGUUUUGAUUAAUGCAAGACGUAUACACGGUUAUGAAAAUUUGUAAACGUGACAGCCUUACAUGCAACUAGGCAGUGAAGCGUGUCACCUAACCAAUUACUUCAUGAUUAAUUGAAGUUAUUAGAAAGUUGUUUAUUUUACGAUGCAUACAUUCUCCAUCUUUAUAGUUUCACACAGUUUUAUGACAGGAAAGGAGUGAUGUAAUAAAGGAAAAUGCCCCAGGUCCAAUGUGAUUCACAGGCAUAAAUUAUGCCGGGUCCUUUAUGCUUCUUUUGAAAAUCGUCUUGACCCUGGUGAAAUGAAACCUCUGAACAGACUGCACCAAAAAAAAAAAGCACUGUACUGUAUAAUUAAUAAUAAAUGUGAAAUNCGAAUGCGUCUAUGUCCCGAAGUCGGCUGUGAAUGUGGAAAUUUGAAGUCUCAGGCAUACUCAAAAUAUCUAAAUUAUAUCUAAUGGUGAAAUGCCUAUGUACAUAUAAACACACAAAACCUUGUUAUUACUCGUCCAAGGUCAUAAAACUAACAACCCAGCAAAUUAUUGUCAAGAACUUUUGUGAUGAGCAUGUAAUAGUUAAAACACCCGAAAGUAGAACUCACACUGUUUAAAGCUAUUUAUGUACUCAAAUCAUGGAUACCCAAAUCAGAACAUUUCUGAAAGGAAGGUAGAACCACCUAAGGUAGCAAUCGCAUGGAUGUUCAUCCAUUUAUAAAUACUCAGCUGUUGUAUGUAAGUUUUUUUGGUUAAAUUAAGACGCCUUAAAAAGUCAAGUACUUUUAGUACAAAAACUAAAUUGGUAACCUGUUAUGACUCAUCACCUGGGAUUUAUAUUGAAAUAUGAUAAUGAAAACUUAAAAAAAAAAAAAAAAAAAAAAAAA